rnacentral:rRNA from 1 species
AUACGAAGGGGGCUAGCGUUGUUCGGAAUUACUGGGCGUAAAGCGCACGUAGGCGGAUUGAUAAGUUAGGGGUGAAAUCCCGAGGCUCAACCUCGGAACCGCCUUUAAUACUGUUAGUCUCGAGUCCGGAAGAGGUGAGUGGAAUUCCUAGUGUAGAGGUGGAAUUCGUAGAUAUUAGGAAGAACACCAGUGGCGAAGGCGGCUCACUGGUCCGGUACUGACGCUGAGGUGCGAAAGCGUGGGGAGCAAACAGGAUUAGAAACCCUAGUAGUCC